GACGAACGCUGGCGGCGCGCCUAACACAUGCAAGUCGAACGAGCGAGAGAGAGCUUGCUUUCUCGAGCGAGUGGCGAACGGGUGAGUAACGCGUGAGGAACCUGCCUCAAAGAGGGGGACAACAGUUGGAAACGACUGCUAAUACCGCAUAAGCCCACGGGUCGGCAUCGACCAGAGGGAAAAGGAGCAAUCCGCUUUGAGAUGGCCUCGCGUCCGAUUAGCUAGUUGGUGAGGUAAUGGCCCACCAAGGCGACGAUCGGUAGCCGGACUGAGAGGUUGAACGGCCACAUUGGGACUGAGACACGGCUCAGACUCCUACGGGAGGCAGCAGUGGGGAAUAUUGCACAAUGGGGGAAACCCUGAUGCAGCGACGCCGCGUGGAGGAAGAAGGUCUUCGGAUUGUAAACUCCUGUUGUUGGGGAAGAUAAUGACGGUACCCAACAAGGAAGUGACGGCUAACUACGUG
rnacentral:rRNA from 1 species